rnacentral:rRNA from 1 species
CGGCGUGCUUACACAUGCAAGUCGUACGAGCAACGCUUCAGCUUGCUGGAAGCAAGUAAAGUGGCGCACGGGUGAGUAACGCGUGGGUAAUCUACCCUUGAAUCGGGGAUAACGUUGCGAAAGCGACGCUAAUACCGGAUGACAUCUUGAGAACCCUUGGUUUUUUUGAUCAAAGGUGGCCUCUCCAUGGAAGCUACUGUUUGAGGAUGAGCCCGCGUCCCAUUAGCUAGUUGGUAGGGUAACGGCCUACCAAGGCGACGAUGGGU